rnacentral:rRNA from 1 species
UACAGAGGUCCCGAGCGUUGUUCGGAUUCACUGGGCAUAAAGGGUGCGUAGGUGGUGGGGUAAGUCGGAUGUGAAAGCUCGGAGCUUAACUCCGAAAUGGCAUUGGAAACUGCCCUGCUAGAGGGUCGGAGGGGGGACUGGAAUUCUCGGUGUAGCAGUGAAAUGCGUAGAUAUCGAGAGGAACACCCGUGGCGAAGGCGAGUCCCUGGACGACACCUGACACUGAGGCACGAAAGCUAGGGGAGCAAACAGG